GCGUGCUAUACAUGCAGUCGAGCGAACAGAUAAGGAGCUUGCUCCUUUGACGUUAGCGGCGGACGGGUGAGUAACACGUGGGUAACCUACCUAUAAGACUGGAAUAACUCCGGGAAACCGGGGCUAAUGCCGGAUAACAUAUAGAACCGCAUGGUUCUAUAGUGAAAGAUGGUUUUGCUAUCACUUAUAGAUGGACCCGCGCCGUAUUAGCUAGUUGGUAAGGUAAUGGCUUACCAAGGCGACGAUACGUAGCCGACCUGAGAGGGUGAUCGGCCACACUGGAACUGAGACACGGUCCAGACUCCUACGGGAGGCAGCAGUAGGGAAUCUUCCGCAAUGGGCGAAAGCCUGACGGAGCAACGCCGCGUGAGUGAUGAAGGGUUUCGGCUCGUAAAACUCUGUUAUUAGGGAAGAACAUAUGUGUAAGUAACUGUGCACAUCUUGACGGUACCUAAUCAGAAAGCCACGGCUAACUACGUGCCAGCAGCCGCGGUAAUACGUAGGUGGCAAGCGUUAUCCGGAAUUAUUGGGCGUAAAGCGCGCGUAGGCGGUUUCUUAAGUCUGAUGUGAAAGCCCACGGCUCAACCGUGGAGGGUCAUUGGAAACUGGGAAACUUGAGUGCAGAAGAGGAAAGUGGAAUUCCAUGUGUAGCGGUGAAAUGCGCAGAGAUAUGGAGGAACACCAGUGGCGAAGGCGACUUUCUGGUCUGUAACUGACGCUGAUGUGCGAAAGCGUGGGGAUCAAACAGGAUUAGAUACCCUGGUAGUCCACGCCGUAAACGAUGAGUGCUAAGUGUUAGGGGGUUUCCGCCCCUUAGUGCUGCAGCUAACGCAUUAAGCAC
rnacentral:rRNA from 1 species